CGUUCUCCCUCUAGGAAACAGAUCUAGGGCAAAAAAAAUGACAUGUCAAAGGGAGGGGUUUGGACUUCUGCGCAUGGCAUGAGGGCCAAAGUCAUCCUCCUAACCUUGCAUUAGAAUCUAUACUUCUGCGGGUAGCUUCUUUUAAAUUAAUUCCCGUUGUCAUUCGUUUGUGCUUUUUCGUGCAGUUUGUGAUUUGACAGAAGAGAGAGCUAUCUGUUUCAUUGUUUAGGAGAUAGUAGUCACUCGAUUUGAUUCUAUCUUUGCUUGGAGGCUGGAGCAGAGAUAGCAAACAUUAUCUAAAAAGGAUCACGGGUUCAUUUUUUCUCUCUCGCCGAUGAGAUGUUGACUAAAAUCAUGGAACAGAAUGGCCAAUAUCCAUUUCUUCAGAAUUUUGAGGAUUCUUCCUUCUUCUCUAAGGAGAUAGUCUUUUUGAUAGAGGCAGUGCAAUUGUCAUCAAACAAUGCCACUUUCUAUCAAUCUGGACAUGAAUAUAACUUAAGAUGAAGAUGAGCCUUUUGAAAUAAUGGAAGAACUUGAAGCUCAAACAUUAGGAAACCUUCUUCCUAAUGAUGAUGAUUUACUAUCUAGUGUUAUUGAUGAUAUUGGAUUUGUUGGCCAAAUCAAUGAUAGAGGUGAUAUUGAUGAUGACAUAUUCUACAAUGGCGGAGGCAUGGAACUAGAAGUCGAUAAUAAUAGUGAUGCCAAUAAAGCUUUUGCACUUGUUGUAGAAGCAGCUAAGUUGACCAAAUGACCUAUUUUAUGGUGCACAUCCUUUAAGAACUCUUUUUGUUCGAAACAUUAAUAGAAAUACUGAAGAUGCUGAGUUAUGAGCUCUUUUUGAGAUAUUUAUUCUUGUAAUUAUGUUGUUUUAAACUUUUUGUCACUGACAUUAUUGAAGCACUCAACUGUUGCUUAUGUUGCGUCAUUGAUACCUUAUAUUGUUAGAUAGUAGCCAUUUGAAGGGUUGAAUAUGAGAUAUCACAUAGUUGGCUAUUCUUGAUAGGAUAUUCUAAAAAUUUAUAGCAAUAUGGCGAGAUACGGACAAUUUAUACUGCUUGUAAACAUCGAGGUUUUGUUAUGAUUUCUUACUAUGAUAUAAGAGCAGCUUGAAAUGUGAUGAAAUCACUUCAAAGUAAGCCAUUGAGGUGGAGGAAGCUUGAUCUUCACUUUUCAAUUCCAAAGGUAAACUACAUUACAUGUACAUAAUUAUUUUAG